rnacentral:rRNA from 1 species
UACGUAGGUGGCAAGCGUUGUCCGGAUUUACUGGGCGUAAAGAGCGCGCAGGCGGUCGUUCAAGUCGAGUGUGAAAGCCCCCGGCUCAACUGGGGAGGGUCAUUCGAUACUGAUCGACUGGAAGGCAGGAGAGGGAAGCGGAAUUCCCGGUGUAGUGGUGAAAUGCGUAGAUAUCGGGAGGAACACCAGUGGCGAAGGCGGCUUCCUGGCCUGUUCUUGACGCUGAGGCGCGAAAGCUAGGGGAGCAAACGGGG